GACAAAUACAAAUCGCAAAGUCUCUUUCCUCUCUCUCACCUCUAAGAUAGUGGGCUUCAUUUCCUCUCGUCUCCUCCCCUCCCGAGUCGCCCCCCGCGUGGGCGGCCGGGAGGCCCCCAGAUCCCGUCAGCCGGUCCUCCCCCACUCCUCCUCUUCCUCCCUCGCCGCCGCCCAAGGGUGCGGCCAGGCGAAGCCUGCCGUUGCCGGCGGCGACGGGGACUCGAGCCCUCUCGCACGGGUGGGGCUGGCGUGGGCCGGCGCCCCCGGGCCGGAGCGUGGCGGCGGGCCGGACGCCACGGCGGAUGGUGGCGGCGCCUCGGCGACUUCGCUCCCCCGCGGCAAAUGGCCUCGCGAUCUGGUGCGUCGCGGUCGCCAGGGAUGGCGGCGGCGUGACCGGAUCGGUUCGCGACGGUGCGGCCGGAUCUAUGCCCAAGCGUGGGCCUUGAUCGCUGGAUUGUCGUCGACACGGUGGCGGGUGCGGUACGUCGGCAGCUGGGCAGAUCCGCCGGGAUUCUACCCUUGUCUGGUCCUUACAGCGCGGGCAACUCCGGGGAAAACCCUAGAUCUCCUUGGGAUCGAGCGAUGGCAGCGCUUUUGCAUCGUAGUCCCUCUUUGGGGCAUCGUUUUGGAGUUUACUCCGGUUGAAGGGACCAGCGACGUCGGCGGCGCACGUCUGGUGGAGCAACUGCCGAUGAAAAUCGCGCCGACUACGGUCUUGGCGGACGAUGGCGGCGUCUUAGAUGUCGUUCCCUUGUCGAGGCAUCGCCGUUGCAGUCUGCGUCAUCAGGCUCGGGAUGCUCCGGGGGAAACCCUAGAUCUGGGUCUUCCGGAUCGGAUGAUGAUGGUAUUUUAUCGCUUUCCCUCCUGGGGGCAUCGUUUUGGAGCAAGUGAUGGUUGGGGGGAUGGUGGAGCGGUGCUUCAUCUCACACAUUGAUGGCGGCGGUUAUCGGCGGCAUGGCGCUGUGGAGGCUCGGCGUCCGAUGCGCGGGAUGGACUCGUGCAAGAGGAGGUAGCUGUCUGGCGUCAUGGUGACGUCGAUGGCUGAGUGGCCAGACAAGGUAGAUGCCUCAAUAUGAUCUGAAGACGGACCUAUGAAAGAUGGCGGCGACGACACACGAGUGAGUCUGACCGGAUUGUGCCCCAAACCCGGUGUGUGGCUCGGCUGGGGCUUCCGGUUUUUGAUGUUAGGCUUAAGUGAGUGGUCUGGGUAGUGGCCUAGCUAGCACGCAUUCAUCGUAUGGAUAGGAGUAGCGGCAUAUGUUGCCAAAAUGGUGGAUUCAGGCAUUUUGUUGUAAUAUUUUGUAAGGUCCUCGAGAAUAAUCAAUAAAGUGGUCGUAUGCAUCUCCCAGAUACAGAGGCCGGGGAUCAUCCUCCUUUUCUAAAAAAAAAAAACCUCUAAGAUGGUGUAUAGGAGUAGUGCCGCUUUGC
rnacentral:rRNA from 1 species